rnacentral:ncRNA from 1 species
UUUCUAUGUGCACCCGCUUAACCGAGACCUAUGGGUGGUUAAAUUACGUCUCUAAUAUCCUGUAGUGAAGGGAUUACAGGAAAUAUAGUAUCGC